rnacentral:miRNA from 1 species
CUGUCACAAAGGUGGGUGAAGCCAGUGACGGACGAUUGCUAAUUCUUCUGUGUCAACGAUCUUCUCCAUCUUUGCAG